GACGAACGCUGGCGGCGUGCUUAACACAUGCAAGUCGAACGGAAAGGCCCUGCUUUUGUUGGUUUCUCGAUUGGCGAACGGGUGAGUAACACGUGUGUAACCUGCCCUUGACUUUGUGAUAACUUCAGGAAACUGGGGCUCAUACCGGAUAGGAUCUCCUGCUGCAUGGUGUUGGUUGGAAAGUUUCGGCGGUUGGGGAUGGACUCGCGGCUUAUCCGCUUGUUGGUGUGGUAGUGGCUUACCAAGGCUUUGACGGGUAGCCGGCCUGAGAGGGUGACCGGCGACAUGGGGACUGAGAGAGGGACCAGAAUCCUACGGGAGGCAGCAGUGGGGAAUAUUGCACAAUGGGGGGAAGCCUGAGGCAGAAACGCCGCGUGCGGGAUGACGGCCUUCGGGUGGUAAACAGAUUUCGCCUGUGACGAAGAGUGAGUGACGGUAAUGGGUAAAGAAGCACCGGCUAACUACGUG
rnacentral:rRNA from 1 species